rnacentral:piRNA from 1 species
UGACACCAAAUCCAGCGGAUG